AAGUUUUUGUAGUUGAAUAACAACAAUAGUUUUUCAAGCUAUAGGUUCAGGUUAAAUUCCUGACAGGAAUAA
rnacentral:tRNA from 1 species